AGAUUAAGUUAUUAAGGGCGCACGGUGGAUGCCUUGGCACUAGAAGCCGAUGAAGGACGUUACUAACGACGAUAUGCUUUGGGUAG
rnacentral:rRNA from 1 species